CAUUUCUUUUUCAAAAAAAAAAAAAUUCUGCCCAACAGGUUGAUCUCUUUCAACUUCAGAUACAGCCACAAGCAGAUACAACAAGAAAAAUUGGAACUUCAAAUGGAGAUAAUCGGAACUUGAACAGCAACAAAUCAGAACUUCAGUAGGAAUAAAAUCGGAACUUGAACAGAAAAAUAUCGGAACUUGAACAACAAAAAUGGGUAAUUGAAGCAGCAAAAACGCAAUUGAUGUUGGUUUAAGGAGAAAAGUGACAGCCUCCUUCUGUUAGUCACGUCAACUAUGGACAAAAAGUAAACACUGAAACUUCACCAGCCAAACAAUUAUAAUACGAAAUUGAUAGAGAGAAGUAAGGGACAAAAAGAGCUAUAUUAUUAUUCAAUCAGAAGAGGCUAUAUAUAGCCUUCAUAGAUACCCAUGUGAACUACUUCUAGAAAUCAGGUACCGCAUAAUGCAGUCCACCUCUCUUUCGUCUCUCUAUCUCGUUCUCCACCUCCAACCCCUUCUAGAAAUCAGAUGAGACUUUUAUGACUUCCAUAGAAGCAAAGAUUUGUAGAGGUAGGAUGCUUAGUUCAAAUUGUGUGAAGGCCGAGGAUUGUAAGGGUAUGUGCAAAGAGAUUCAAUAUUAUGAAAGCACAUGUGAGAAAAUUGAUGGGACUCUUCGUUGUAUCUGUCAAAGGCCGUGUGGUUGAACAUAUGCUCUCUCAUUGAAUUGAAGUUACUUAUAAAACUAUAAUGCCAGCUGUCGUUUCUGAUGGUUUAUUAAUUUAAUAUCAAUAAAAUGUUUGUGGGUUUUACUUUUAGCAUACCAUACAACUGCCCAUGUUUAUCAAACUUGGUAUUCAAUAUACUCUUAUUAGCAUAUAAUGAGAUAAUGCUCAAAAUUCUCACGAGAGUUUGUUUUUUUUUUUUUUUCGGAAGCAUAAUAAUUAUGUGCGAGCGUAGGCAAAAUACAGAUGUACCAAAUAUGUUCAGGCUUUAGAUUUAGAUAAUAAUCUUUGUUUUAUGCUCAACAUCACAAGAAAAUGCAUAUGUUGUAGAUUUAGAUAAUAGUAGUGAUGCUUGGAAGUUGUUUCUAAAUGAUGAUGAUUGGGAGUUGUUUGCCUUUCUGAGUUUCUAAUCAGGUUAUGAUUAUCACUUGAAAACAAGUAAUUGUUUCUUUCUCUUUGAUCAUUUUAACAUUUUCCCCCUUACAAUUAACUACAACUAACUCUUUUUAUUGUCCGGAUAGUAUAGAACCUAAGCCUAUAGGGGAGUAAAACGGUAUAAAUUGGAAUCUUUGUAUUUUGUCCAAACUGAAUUCAGUUUCAUAAGGUAUUAUGGUGUUUUUCAGCCAAAAAAAAAAAAAAAGAAAACCCCCCGAAGCAGAUGCAUUUCAUAAGUCAUACGAUUGUCUUUGAGUUUCUUUCAUCUUUUUAUUAGGCCUUGUUUCUGUUUUCCCAUCAACUGUUGUUCAGACAUCCUUGGUGUGUUUGGUUUAUGGAAUCCGAAGGAACUGGAUUCUCAAAUUCCAUUCCGUGGCAUGUCAACGGAAUUCAAUUCUGGGAGAUUCCUCUAAAUCCAUGUUUCGGAUCAUUCCUAGGGGUGUCCGGUGAGUGAUGCGAUGCGAUCAGUAAGUUAGAGGAAUAAUGGAUUAUGGAAGAAAGGCGACUUCAAACUGACAACUAAGGGGUAAAAUGCUCACCGAUGCUUGUGGCAAAGCCAAAUCAAAGUGGUGUUGGUUACAUUUAAUAGUAUUAAUUUUAUAUAACACAAAAAUUGACGAUAUUACCCUUUGCUCCUGGGGCUCUUGGAGUAGGAGGAGGACCUUUGGUCAAUGGUCAAGGCGGGACUUUAAUGUUUUUAAAUUGGCAAUCUACAGUCAAUAUUCCAGCUUUAGCCCAAAUUGUUUUGGAGCCUGUUGGAAACCCUAGCGAGUGUUUAAUUUUGGAAAACAUGUUUCAUCCAUCUACCAAGUUCUCUUAUUAAUUAUUAAUUUAUCAGAUUAAACAUGUAUUUUUUUUUUUAAGUAUUCAUAGCGAUUUAAUUUGAGGUAUAUUUUACAACUUGACAUGUAAUUUGAUUUGGAUCACAUCAAAUACAAUACAACCUGUUUUCUUU